UACGUAGGGGGCAAGCGUUGUCCGGAUUUAUUGGGCGUAAAGAGCGUGUAGGCGGCUUGGUAGGUCCGCUGUGAAAACUCGAGGCUCAACCUCGAGAUGUCGGCGGAAACCACUUGGCUAGAGUCCGGAAGAGGAGAGUGGAAUUCCCGGUGUAGCGGUGAAAUGCGCAGAUAUCGGGAAGAACACCUAUGGCGAAAGCGCUCUGCUAGGCCGCAACUGACGCUGAGGCACGAAGGCCAGGGGAGCAAACGGG
rnacentral:rRNA from 1 species